UUUUUUUUUUUUUUUUUUUUUUUUGUAGUUGUAUGUUAUAUAUGUAGACAUCCUUUUGCAUGGAAAAGACAGAACUGAUGAAAUGAAAUGAAAACUGAGUUUGCAGGCUUCCACCGCCCUUCUCUCCUCUCCUUCUUCCUUCCCUGGUUUCUUCUUCUCCACCUUCUGCUGUGUUUAUGUUUAUGUAAUCCUACAUCAACUUGGUAUCAAAGCUAAACCUGGAUUCCAUUAUCAAUCUGCAUCCCAUAACCCCUGCAUCUCCCAAAUACUUCAUCUACACACAGUUUCUAUUUACUCAACUCAGCUGCUACAACUCUCAGCAUGUUCCAAGAUUUCCAGCAGCCACCAACAUACAAAAUAUCACUCUAUAUACAGCUGCCUUCUACCCGCCGUUCCGCUGUCACUGUCCAGCCAUAAGCCAACUACCAACAACAGACACCACAACACCCACUCACAAAAUCACCGCCCACAAUUAAUCGAUCCAUAUAACCAGGCAACCAGUCACCACCACCAUAUAAUCUCUCAUAACCAAUUAACCAAUAAUCUCAAUACCAAUCAUGGUAAAUUCGCGAACACCAUCCUCCAUAAUACACAGUCAUCUAUCUACUAUACACGCAACUCAGUUCUCACUCCAUAUACACGACCUGGCUUACCAUAACAAUCACCAAGCUGCAACCGUUGCUGUAGAUCCAUCCUUGCGCACCACACCCAAAAGCUUAGACACUUUCAAGUCCACCAGUCAUCUACAAAUCAGCACCAAAUCAGCAAAGCCUCCUCACUCGAGACAACAACCAGAAAUUGAACAAAUCCACCCAAAAUUACAGCAGCCAAAAAUUGAUCCAUCGCCUUUCUGAACUCGAACCACUCGCGACCACCCAAAGCACCCACCCACGACCGCCGCCUCCACUCGUGACCACCAUGGCACCGGUCACCAUCACAGUGCUGGCGCCCACUCUGAGGAACUGGGAUUUAAUCCUCCCGAUAACCCAAAUUGCAUAUAAUAGUUCUGUAAAUCGAUCUUUUGGCAUAAGUCCUUUUGAAGUUGUUCAUGGUUAUAAACCUAGGAAGCCUUGAGACCUUAUCCCUAUGUCCCCACAUGCUAAUGUGUCUGUGUCAGUUGAGGCAUUUGUAUAACAUCUUCAUGACUUGCAUAUUGAGAUCAAUAAACAACUAGAGGCAAAUAACAUCACAUAAACUUCGAGCUGAUUUGCAUAAACGACAUGUUGAAUUUAAAAUUGGGGAUUAUAUAAUGAUCCGAAUUAGACCGGAACGGCGUCCAUCUGGAUCCGCUUCUAAAUUGCAAGCCCGUAGCGCUGGUCCUUUUAAAAUCUUAAAGCGUGUUGGUCCAAAUGCAUAUGUCAUUGAUCUUCCGUCAUAUUUUGGCUACCACUCUACUUUCAAUGUUGAGGAUUUAGUUGCUCAUAAAGGCCAUUUUAAGCCCUCCGAUGACUUUUUUCUACCCCCAUUUGUUGACUUUCACCUUGAACCUAUUGCUACCCCUAUUUCAACAUCUCCUGUCACAAUACCCAAAGAUAAGAUUGAUGCUAUUUUAGAUGAACAUAUUAUAUUGACUAAUGAUGGAGAAAUUCAACGCUUUCUUGUUCGUUGGGUAGGACGACCUGACUCUGAUUGUACAUGGAUCCCUAGAGAGACACUCCAACAACUUGAUCCUGACUUGUUGGAACUUUAUAGGAGUCAGCAUGAUCUUCCAUUGCCCAGACCACCCAUCACACGUGUAUAUGGACGUCGGAAGAGAUUUGUCCAACCACUCAGCUUAUGGUUGGACAACUGAUUGCAGCUAUUCACUCGACAGAGUCGAGUUUUCUCCCAUCUCGGGAGAGUUGAUGAGGACAUCUACUCAACAUUGGAUUAGCUUAGUAUUUUACAUUGGGCUUGUAGUAUAUUUUGUAAUUGGGCUAGUUAAUUUUGCUUUGGGCUAGUAUUACUGUUUUGGACUGCCUAAGCCCUUUUUCAAAACCUUUUUUUUUUUUUUUUUUUUUUUUUUUUUUGUAUUUGUAUGUUAUAUAUGUAGACAUCCUUUUGCAUGGAAAAGACAGAACUAAUGAAAUGAAAUGAAAACUGAGUUUGCAGGCUUCCACCGCCCUUCUCUUCUCUCCUUCUCUCCUUUCCUUCUUCCUUCCCUGGUUUCUUCUUCUCCCCCUUCUGUUGUGUUUAUGUUUAUGUAAUCCUACAUCAAUAUGGCUUCCAUCCUUCUUUCUUCUCUUAAGACAUUAUCAUUGUGCUUGUUAUAAGUUUCUGUGAUUUGAGAUCAUGUCUUUCUUUAAUGAAAUUAGAUAUACUGGUUUGGAAAAGAAGCUACAUGUCUUAGGAAGUUAACAUAAUGUACUUCCUGGUUAUAUAGAACUAUCUUGCUAUAGCUGAUUGUAUUAUAAUAUUGAACAUUAGAUAUAUAUUGGGUAACAUCAUAUUAAGAAUGCUGGCUGCAUUGAAUAUAAUUUACAAAAUCGAUAUUUGACAUAUUAAAUGGUUAUUUUUAUUGAAUGAUAACUUUGUUAUUUUGUGCUUUCCUCUCAUUUUUUAUUUUUUUAUUUUUUCCACAAUUUGAUCUCUGCAUAAGGAAAUUUGUACUUAUUGGUCGAGACUAUCAGAAUAAACUAGAUUUGAGCUGGAAACUUAUCCUCCCUGUUGAUCGGCCACAUAAUUACUUUGAAUGGUAUUUUUGAAGUCACGCUAAAUGGCUGUUCUCAGAAUGCUUAUGUCUUGUUCAGAAAUGAUGAUGCAUUGCAAGCAAUAAAGUCCAUCUUUUUGCUUCAUUUUCAUAAUUUUAUGUUGAGUAUAGUGUAAAACCAUUUAGUUGUUUAGUGGAAUGUCCAUACUCCAUUGUUUAUUUGUUUUCUCUAAAUUGAAGUUUGAAUCCCCCUGGUCUUUCUUUUAUCACUUAUUGUCAUUCUUUUUUCCACUUAAGGUCCUUCACAACAUUGUCAUUGUGGAAAGCAUUAGAGAUGGCCGUUCAGAUCCUAAGGGGCUUAUUGAAAUACUUGAAAAUGUUAAGGUGCCAUCAUUUUUUCAUUGCGUGUUACGUACGCAAUAAGUUGUGUGCACAUCUAAACAUGUUUACCAAUCCAUUUUGAAUGCCUUGGGGUGGGGGCAGUGUGUUUGUGUUGGGUGAAGGGGCGAGGGUUCUUCAACCAAAAAUUUUAUAAUUUUUUCUAGUUAUAAGCAAUAAAAAAGCCUUUUCUGUUAUGUGAUGAUGAUCUUGACGUGUGCUCAGGACAUCAUGUGGCUCUUGGUUUGAUGCUAUUAAUAGUGGAUAUAGAGGCAUUUGAACUUUAGUUUUUCGACUUUCUAUUGUUAUAUUUAAUUUAUUGUUCAAUUUAGAAAUUAAGUGAAAAGCUUGCUCGUUCAUCUGGCGGAAAUUUCGAGGCUUUUGGCUACAAUGGAAGCAACACAACAGCUGGAACAGAAAGAAGUAAUAUGGCACAUCAGUUUUCUAGUUCACCAGUUGCUUCCAGUGAUGAGUUUGAUACUUCUGUAACCACGUUCAACGUGGUAUGUUCACUCGGCAGUUAUAUGGUUCCAUCUGCAUGAAUAUGCAAAAUCAUUUUCAAUUUUAGAUACAUUGUAUCAGCACAUCGAACCAAUUGAUGAGGGACUGCUCUUCCUAUUUGCCUUUUGUUGCUGGAUGUUGCAUUACUUCCACAUCAUGCACCAAAAUAUGUCGGCUCGAAGGAGUUUGGUUCUAGUUUCCAAAAAUUGAUAGGAUCCUGUGGGUUUUGGGAAUCUUCUUGGAGAAGCAAUCUUCUAUUUUUCCCCUAUCUUCUAUGUCUGGUUUCUGGAUGAGGCACUGGGGUUGUGGGUGCUGAAUGAAUACCAUACAAGCCUGUUUCUUGACAGUGGAUUGCUCUAUUAUCUGAAGGUGUUGGCUGCUGGGAGAUGCAUAUAUGGGGAAUACAUUUAACUCCAGAAUUAUUCUUGUAUCUUUCAUUUCUGUUAUAACAGUGCAACAGUCAAUUCAGCAUUACUACUUUUGAUCCAUUUAUUUAUGCUGCAUGGCUGAGCUUACUUGGGAAGUUAAUCAAGGGCUAAAUUUAACUUUUUCUCAAUGCGGUGAACUCUAAUUUUAUCUGCUUAGUGAUGUAAUGGAUCAUGACAUAUUGACAUGCGAGAUGUUGAAUUCUCAUGGUGCAUUAUAUAGGAAAAAAGCACAUUAUGUUGUGGUAGUGCCUGGGAUUUGUGCUUUCUAAUAUAGUUUUUAACUUGCAUAAGAGUUCUCUACCGUCAUCUCUGAUGGAUCAUAAGUGGUUAUCGAGUUGGAAUACCAUUUACUAGGAUUUAUAUGGUUUUGUAGACCCUGUCAAUCACUUGAACGGAUAAAAUCAUGAUGAGACAGUCCAUUGUUUAUUUAUAUUUAUUCCUAGGUUCAUGCAUAAAUAUUUUGAUAUUCUGUUUAUUAUAGUUAGUUAUUUCUCUUGAAUUAACAAUUGUCUUGAAGUUGUACGCCUCCUGUUGGUCAUUUCUUGUGUUCAGGAUGUGAUUAGUCUUAUGGAGAAGGUUUUCUGUGUAAAUAGCUUGAUCAAUCCUGCCAUUAUUGGAAACUCAGUCCCAGUACAAAAUGUUUCAAGAUCUGCUUUACUUCCCAGCAAUUCAACUAUUCCCGAUGCUUCUACUUCUGAUUCAGUUGCUAAUGAAAAUACCUUGGAAAUCUCUUUAUCUAGAGCUUUAUCGGAGGAAGCACUUGAUGUUGAAUCGUUACAGUUAUCAACUUCUAUUGACAUCAGUGAGCAGAACCUUCAAAAACCAGGUGUGGUAUGGCUUUCUGUAAUGAUCUUACAUGGAGCCAAGCUGAGGAGUCCCAUUCAACCAUUGAUCUAAGAAUUAAGUUGCAUUUUUACAAGCUUCGUUAUUUGCUCCUCACCAGGAAUCUCAGGUCAGCCAAGCGGGAUAAGAUGGCUAUGAACAUAGCUCGUGGGAAAGAUUACCCCAUGGCUCUCCAUUUGAAGUCACAGCUUGAAUAUGCUGAUGGGAAUCAUCUCAAAGCAAUCAAGCUUUUGAUGGCAUCAAGUAAUCAGACAGAAAUUGGAAUUUCAAGUAUGUAUUACAACAACCUCGAUUGCAUUUUUUACCGACUUGGGAAGCAUCACACUUCAGGUUUAUUCUUUUCUAAAGCAUUAAGUAAUAGUUCACUUGUGUGGAAGGAAAAACCCCUGAAACUUGCAACUAUAUCUCAAGAUAAGUCUCUCCUGAUAACAUACAAUUGCAGCUUACUUUACUUGGUUUGUGGGAAACCUUUCCCUGCUGUGUGCUGUUCCCAGAAGGCCAGUCUAGGUUUCAACAACAGACCUCUUUUAUGGCUACAAAUUGCUUAGUUCUGUCUAAUGGCCCUAGAAAAGGGAAAUUUAAAUUCCAGUGUUUCUGCAUCUGACCGAUCUGAUAUCAAAGUUAAAGAUUUUGGAAAGGGGAAAUGGAGACAACUUGCAAUUGAAGAUGGAAUUUCAACAAACGGCCAGUGGGAAUAUGUUGAAAAGGAAGAGUUGUUUCCGGGUGAUGGUAAACAGCCUAAUCUCUCAAUUUCUCUUGCCUGACAGUGUCUUAUCAUUGCAUUGUAUUUAUUGGACUGAUCUAUGUCAAGGUAUUCUAAAUCUGGUUUGCCUUAUGGUUCUGAGGAAAGUGAAUCAAGAGAGACAGUGUCAUCUAAGAGUAUAACUGGCUCAGGUCAGGUCAAUGUAAAUGGGGAAGGGAAAGAACAGAAGGGUGGAAAAAUUUGAAACAUUUGUAACACUUGUUUACAUUACUCCACUUCGGACUGUGAUGAUAUUUUCAGUAAAGAGAAUCAGAUGAUGAAGCAAGAAGUCUUUGCUGAUUUGGCAAAUAUAGAGCUGGCUCUGGGAAAUCCUUCGGAAGCCCUGGCUGCAGCAAGAUCUCUUUUCAGACUUCCUGGGUGCUCAAUAAUAUACGUCUUUUUGGGAAAUAUGUAUGCAGCUGAGGCUCUAUGCCUGCUAAAUCAGCCCAAUGAAGCUGCUGAGCAUUUGAUAAUCUAUGUAUGGUGGGAGCAAUGUGGAGCUUCCAUAUCCUCAAGUGGAUUGUGAAAAGGGGAUAACGGAAAAAAAUGGCAGGUUUUGAAGAGUCAAAUGGUGGUUCAAAUGAAUCCAAAGGAUUUGUGUUCCUCAGGCCUGAAGAGGCAGUUGGGGUUAUUUGUACCAACGCCGCUGCCAACUACGCUGUGCUGGAGAUCUUGAGAAGGCCCACCAAUUUGCUAUAAAAGCUUUAUCAGCAGUACCCGAUAAUGCAAAAGCUAUAAUUGCUGCAAUUUAUGUGGAUCUUAAGUUUGGGAAAACACAAGAAGCUCUUGCCAAGUUGAGACACUGUACUUGUGUUAGGUUCCUUCUUGGUAGUUCGACAUGGAAUGGCUCUUCUUGAUUGUUUUUAUUGAUAACUUCUGCCCAUGCCCCUCACUCCUAGUUAGCAGGUGGCUAGUCAAUCCUUUGAAAGAGGGUUUUUAACUUGUAUACAUAUGUAUACUUCAAUUCAGGAUGAAGUUAUUUGUUCAUUUUCUUUUGGUUAAAACUUUUGCCUGUAGGGUUUUGUGACUUGUGGUGUGGGUUUGAUAUUUUGGUUACAAUCCCCACUUUAAAUUUUGGGUUGUAGUUUUGAUAGAGACUUGUACUCUUUAAAGGGGGAAAAAGAAUUUAGAUUCUUAUACAUGUGAA